AUUCCAUCUAUACUUAAUAACACCCUCAAGAACCUGCAAAGCAAAAAACUUAGUAUUCAGGCUUUGUGUGCUCGAUAGAAUGUGAACCACUUGAAGCCACAUAUCUGGGUUAUUUUGCAAAUCACGCAAAAUAUGGUCCGCUGCAGCUCUCUCUUCCUUAGAUCCGGUUCCAUAGAAAGCAGCAACAGUAGCGUCAAGCAACGAAACAUCAAUGGGCUGACUCAAAUCUCUCAGCUUCUCCGCCGCCAUGUUGAGAACGAAGGAACGAACAGAGUGAGUGAUAAACCCUAGAAGAAAUCAGAAGCAAAGCAGUAAAACCCUAGAAACGAGAAGGAAAACCCUAAGCAGAGAAAGAAAAAGUGAGCGCCUCAAUUGUUAAAAAGGUGUUUUCAAAGAUGUGGAUUUUGUAAA
rnacentral:misc_RNA from 1 species